rnacentral:lncRNA from 1 species
AUGGCUAAGUCCCCGUGCUUCAGGCCACUCACCAGGAACUGCCUGGCCUUCAGGGGCAGCACAGGGCGGGUCUCCCCAGACCCAGAGACCUGGGGACCUAAGAUGAGCGGGAGCCCAGGGCAGAUCUCCCUGGACCUGGACAUCAGACACUCAGGGCCACCGAGUCCAGGACAGGUCCAGUUAGGCCCGGCCACCACUGUCCUCCUUUUUUGUCCACCAUUCCCGGUGGAGCUGCACUCCCAGGAGACUCCACCAGCUGAACUCCUGUCCCAGCUGGAGCAAGCUGAGCCCACUGAGGCACAGCCCACGGGACCAGCUCCAGCCCCAGCUGAAGUCCCACGUGUGGAGCCUGAGCCAGCUCCACCUGCAGCUUCCUGCCCAGCCCUGGGACCACAGCCAGAGUCCAUGGCAGCCCCUUCACCUGCUGCAGUGCUGGGUCACCCGGUGGCUGCACGGCGGUCAGUGUCACCUCCUGAGCCCUGCCUGGGGCCAGCUCCUGGCCCCCUCCCACUGUUCCCCUCACUUACGGUGGCUCUUGUUUUGGUAUUUACAAUUGCCCUUAUUUCUUGGAUUUAUAUAAAUAAUAGAACUAGUUUUUAAUAAAACUUAAAAUUUUAGUGUUUAAAAGGGUCAGCGUGGUGGCCUGAAGUGCCUUCUCCCGUGUGCGCCCAUCCCCAGAGCACUGUGCUUGGUGGCUCCCGCCCACACCCCUGGCCACUGCUCCUGUCGUGUCCCCAUGGGCACCUGG